rnacentral:rRNA from 1 species
GACGAACGCUGGCGGCGUGCCUAAUACAUGCAAGUUGAGCGAUGAAGAUUGGUGCUUGCACCAAUUUGAAGAGCAGCGAACGGGUGAGUAACGCGUGGGGAAUCUGCCUUUGAGCGGGGGACAACAUUUGGAAACGAAUGCUAAUACCGCAUAACAACUUUAAACAUAAGAUUUAAGUUUGAAAGAUGCAAUUGCAUCACUCAAAGAUGAUCCCGCGUUGUAUUAGCUAGUUGGUGAGGUAAAGGCCCACCAAGGCGAUGAUACAUAGCCGACCUGGGAGGGUGGUCGGCCACAUUUGGACUGGGACACGGCCCCAACUCCUUCGGGAGGCAGCAGUAGGGGAUCUUCGGCAAUGGACGAAAGGCUGACCGAGCAACGCCGCGUGAGUGAAGAAGGUUUUCGGAUCGUAAAACUCUGUUGGUAGGGAAGAACGUUGGUGAGAGUGGAAAGCUCAUCAAGUGACGGUAACUACCCAGAAAGGGACGGCUAACUACGUG